CUUGUUCUCAUAUUUUGCUGUUUUGUUACGUUUUUUCUGGAAACACCACAAAUGCAGAAUUAUGCAAAGAAAGAAGCAUUACAAACUUUACAAAAUAUUUCAACAUGCUGACAUGUGCAGCAGUUUUGCUGGAAACAACAGAAAUAUGCUACGAAAGAAGCAUUUCAACUUCUCCGAAAAUUUUUAACAUGUGACGCAUUUCUGCUGUAAACACAGAAACAACAAAUAUGCCAAGAAAGAAGCAUUACAACUUUUUCAACAAUGUUCAACAUGUUCUGGAAUAUGGUGGUCGCGGUCUUACUAAUGCAAAAAUAUUUGCUGGGUUAACGGCGUGUUGCAAUUAUUGUUGCGGCUUCCACUUCAUGUACAACAUGACUUUUGUUUGUGCUCAAUACCACAGGCAUGCCAUUUCUGCAAACUGAUAUCUUUAAGACGCAGAAUGCUAUUUGCACCAGCUGAAUCAACAAGAUGUCUUUCAGCAUAUGAAUUUUCUCUGUUUGUUCGAGAUUACCAUGCUAGGCCAUGUGAAAUGUUUGAUGCUGCUGAAUUUCUUAGUAUAAUAUUAUCUAAGGUUUCAGACGACCAAAUUAGGUACCAUAAUGAAGAUGUUAAUACCCUGCAAUCUAUGUGCCUUUCUGAACAAUGUUUCUGUGGUGAAUAUUCUAAUAUCCUCAGUGCAACGAUAUUCAACAUUUUUAAGUUCAACCAAGGAGAAAAACU